rnacentral:rRNA from 2 species
UACGUAGCCGACCUGAGAGGGUAAUCGGCCACAUUGGGACUGAGACACGGCCCAAACUCCUACGGGAGGCAGCAGUAGGGAAUCUUCCACAAUGGACGAAAGUCUGAUGGAGCAACGCCGCGUGAGUGAAGAAGGGUUUCGGCUCGUAAAACUCUGUUGUUAAAGAAGAACAUAUCUGAGAGUAACUGUUCAGGUAUUGACGGUAUUUAACCAGAAAGCCACGGCUAACUACGUGCCAGCAGCCGCGGUAAUACGUAGGUGGCAAGCGUUGUCCGGAUUUAUUGGGCGUAAAGCGAGCGCAGGCGGUUUUAUAAGUCUGAUGUGAAAGCCUUCGGCUCAACCGAAGAAGUGCAUCGGAAACUGGGAAACUUGAGUGCAGAAGAGGACAGUGGAACUCCAUGUGUAGCGGUGAAAUGCGUAGAUAUAUGGAAGAACACCAGUGGCGAAGGCGGCUGUCUGGUCUGUAACUGACGCUGAGGCUCGAAAGUAUGGGUAGCAAACAGGAUUAGAUACCCUGGUAGUCCAUACCGUAAACGAUGAAUGCUAAGUGUUGGAGGGUUUCCGCCCUUCAGUGCUGCAGCUAACGCAUUAAGCAUUCCGCCUGGGGAGUACGGCCGCAAGGCUGAAACUCAAAGGAAUUGACGGGGGCCCGCACAAGCGGUGGAGCAUGUGGUUUAAUUCGAAGCUACGCGAAGAACCUUACCAGGUCUUGACAUACUAUGCAAAUCUAAGAGAUUAGACGUUCCCUUCGGGGACAUGGAUACAGGUGGUGCAUGGUUGUCGUCAGCUCGUGUCGUGAGAUGUUGGGUUAAGUCCCGCAACGAGCGCAACCCUUAUUAUCAGUUGCCAGCAUUAAGUUGGGCACUCUGGUGAGACUGCCGGUGACAAACCGGAGGAAGGUGGGGAUGACGUCAAAUCAUCAUGCCCCUUAUGACCUGGGCUACACACGUGCUACAAUGGAUGGUACAACGAGUUGCGAACUCGCGAGAGUAAGCUAAUCUCUUAAAGCCAUUCUCAGUUCGGAUUGUAGGCUGCAACUCGCCUACAUGAAGUCGGAAUCGCUAGUAAUCGCGGAUCAGCAUGCCGCGUUGAAUACGU